AGUUUGAUCCUGGCUCAGAUUGAACGCUGGCGGCAGGCCUAACACAUGCAAGUCGAGCGGUAGAGAGAAGCUUGCUUCUCUUGAGAGCGGCGGACGGGUGAGUAAUGCCUAGGAAUCUGCCUGGUAGUGGGGGAUAACGUCCGGAAACGGACGCUAAUACCGCAUACGUCCUACGGGAGAAAGCAGGGGACCUUCGGGCCUUGCGCUAUCAGAUGAGCCUAGGUCGGAUUAGCUAGUUGGUGGGGUAAUGGCUCACCAAGGCGACGAUCCGUAACUGGUCUGAGAGGAUGAUCAGUCACACUGGAACUGAGACACGGUCCAGACUCCUACGGGAGGCAGCAGUGGGGAAUAUUGGACAAUGGGCGGAAGCCUGAUCCAGCCAUGCCGCGUGUGUGAAGAAGGUCUUCGGAUUGUAAAGCACUUUAAGUUGGGAGGAAGGGCAGUAAAUUAAUACUUUGCUGUUUUGACGUUACCGACAGAAUAAGCACCGGCUAACUCUGUGCCAGCAGCCGCGGUAAUACAGAGGGUGCAAGCGUUAAUCGGAAUUACUGGGCGUAAAGCGCGCGUAGGUGGUUCGUUAAGUUGGAUGUGAAAUCCCCGGGCUCAACCUGGGAACUGCAUUCAAAACUGACGAGCUAGAGUAUGGUAGAGGGUGGUGGAAUUUCCUGUGUAGCGGUGAAAUGCGUAGAUAUAGGAAGGAACACCAGUGGCGAAGGCGACCACCUGGACUGAUAUUGACACUGAGGUGCGAAAGCGUGGGGAGCAAACAGGAUUAGAUACCCUGGUAGUCC
rnacentral:rRNA from 1 species